GGCCCGCACAAGCAGUGGAGCAUGUGGUUUAAUUCGAUGCAACGCGAAGAACCUUACCAGGGUUUGACAUCCUGCGAAUCUCCUGGAAACGGGAGAGUGCCUUCGGGAACGCAGUGACAGGUGGUGCAUGGCUGUCGUCAGCUCGUGUCGUGAGAUGUUGGGUUAAGUCCCGCAACGAGCGCAACCCACGUCUUUAGUUGCCAGCAUUUAGUUGGGCACUCUAGAGAGACCGCCGGUGAUAAACCGGAGAAGGUGUGGAUGACGUCAAGUCAUCAUGCCCCUUACAUCUGGGCUACACACGUACUACAAUGCUACGGACAAAGGGCAGCAAGUUCGCGAGGACAAGCAAAUCCCAUAAACGUGGCUCAGUUCAGA
rnacentral:rRNA from 1 species